UCUCCUUCAUCAAUUAUUUUUCUCAUAUUCUUUAUGAUGAAGGCUAGGAACUAUGCUAAAAUAUACAUAUGUCUUAGUUGUUGCUUUUCUUAAUGCCGAUAUGGAAGAUCUAAAAGCCUCUCAAAGAUUUUUGGUUCUGCGGAAGCCAAUGAUCUGGCACACUGAGACCUUAAUUUCUGGAGUGAACGACUGCAGGAAUCAAAAUACAAUGUUGAUGAGAUAACUACUUCUGGUUAGGCCGGGGAAAUAAAAAGGGUAACCAUAGAUAUAUGGUCUAGCAUCACGAGGUUCAGGUUCCUGCUGUUGAUCAACCGUUGCUUCGGUCGAGCCAAGAUGAGUGCUCUACACUUACGUCUCAUGCUAACUGAAUUGGUGAUGUUUAUUUCUUCACCUCGAUUGACGCCGCAUGUUCCCGCUGCUUCUCGGCGGGCACAUCUGAAUCGUGGAGCGUGAACUGGUCAUAGCGAACUGGCCUGUUUGGCAGAAAAGACAAUUUUUUUGUGGCUACCAGUUACAGGUGCACACAAGAUGCUUACAAUUGAGCGGUCUACACUACACAAACCAUCAUUUUGGUCCUUUAUACAUACAAGAGGCGAGGGAGGACACAUACAUACAUUCGACCGCCAAUAAUUCAACUGUCGGUUAUCAAUCGGCUGUGUGUAUCUUGUUUCAAUCGGCAAUGGUGCAUAUACAUUUCACACCAAGGGCGAUGUAGAAAUGCAAGAACAGAAGCUUUGCGAGGUGGUUGUUGAUGAAUCAUGUAAGGAUGGUGCAGAACUCACAAGAGGGAAAAGACCGAACUGCGGUAACCAAAUCAAAUAGCUGAUAAGGUUCACUUGGAAGUGGUUGAGGUAGCCUGACCUGGUGAGACCUGGUGACGCGAUGCAUACAUCGGAGGAAGUAGAUCUGUGAGUGCGGGAGUGGAUCUUGCAAUUGAAGUCGUGUCUCCGAUGCAGAGGAGCAGCGGCGAGGCGGUGGAAACUACAGG